AUAUAUAUAUAUAUAUAUAUAUAGUAUUGCAUAUUUAUACACUUCAGAGAGAGAAGUAGAAAAUCUGAUUCAAGCAAAGAAUCAUGUCAGGGGAAUGAGCAAAACGGAAAACAACCCAGGAAAAAGGGGAAAUGAAGCCCAUUUGUGAUGGAUUUUUAAAUUAAAUCCGGUGUCCUUUCAAAGCAGGGCUGCCUGGUCUUACUGAGCUCCAGGGGCCACAUUCACCCUGGACUAAACCAUCCGGAGGCCACGUGGCAGAGUGUGGCCACCCAUUAAAUUGUCAAUGUAAUGAGCAGGGAGGAAGGGAGGGAUUUGUAUUUCUGUCAUAGCGCUGGGCUGGGCAGGGAGGUUUAACACUUUUUUGCACAUCCCAUCACUGUGUCAAUAUAUACUUUCUCUGUCACCACUAACAAAAUUGGGGGAUCUCAGAUGGGUAGGAAUUUGCUAAGGAAUGGGUUCAAAUCAUGUCCCUGGCAUGGAUGUCCUCCAGCCAUUUUUCUUUUCUUUUCAAGGGCCUUUCCUGGAAUGGCGGAACUGAUAAUACUUGAACGAUGAACCCAUUUUAUAGCUUGCAAGACCAGCCACAUUUUACUGCCCCAACUGACUGCACUGCAUCCCAGCAACCUUUGUGAGCUUACAGGGAGAGAUGUCGGUGGGACUUUCAGCCUCAAGUGGACAAAAGCAGCCAGCCUUGGGAACUGCAAUCUGUGCCACCAUCAGUGCUUUUCUUAUAGGAAAAAAAGGUGCCAGUACUCACCAUGAAGUUGUUACAGGCAGUUAGGCAGCGCUGCAUUGAAGUAAGGGCUCCCCCCCCCAUGAUUUCCUUAUCGCGAGAGGACGGAAAGCGCCCUUCGCGACAGUCUGGAAGCGCUCUUCAUGAUCUACAUCCGUCCCACAGAGUUAUUGAGUCCUCCAGUGCCCAGAGAGGGCCAGAAUCUUCUUGCCACAGCAAGGAGCUAAUGUUGAGCUGAGGAUGGAGAUUCACCCCUCUUGAAACGUCAAGAGAGGACGAAAGGCAUCAAGGCAGUUCCGCCCACCUGUGUUUUUCUCAU